rnacentral:rRNA from 1 species
UACGUAGGCAGCGAGCGUUGUUCGGAGUUACUGGGCGUAAAGGGUGUGUAGGCGGUUGUUUAAGUUUGGUGUGAAAUCUCCCGGCUCAACUGGGAGGGUGCGCCGAAUACUGAGCGACUAGAGUGCGGGAGAGGAAAGUGGAAUUCCUGGUGUAGCGGUGAAAUGCGUAGGUAUCAGGAGGAACACCUGUAGUGUAGACAGCUUUCUGGACCAUUGCUGACGCUGAGACACGAAAGCGUGGGUAG